rnacentral:ncRNA from 1 species
UUGCAUAUGGGGAGCUUGUAGACAGGCUGAGAGGAAGUUGUGAACUUCGACCCGGGAACCUGAUUUGGAUAAUGCCAACGUAGGGAGAAAG